AGAAUCAACGCUGGCGGCGUGCCUAACACAUGCAAGUCGAACGAGAAAGUGGAGCAAUCCAUGAGUAAAGUGGCGACCGGGUGAGUAACACGUGACUAACCUACCUUUUAGUGGGGGAUAACCUCGGGAAACCGAGGCUAAUACCGCAUAACAUCGCAAGAUCAAAGGCAGCAAUGCGCUGGAAGAGGGGGUCGCGGCUGAUUAGCGUAGUUGGCGGGUAACGCCCACCAAGGCGAAGAUCGGUA
rnacentral:rRNA from 1 species